GCGUCCAUGGCGUAGCAGUAUAACGCGUUUCCCUCCUGCCUAGUCUGCUUGCCCAGAGGCAGCUAGGGAGGGAAGAGACCCGGGUGCGAAUCCCGGUGGAUGUA